UGAGGAAUAUUGGUCAAUGGGCGGGAGCCUGAACCAGCCAUGCCGCGUGAAGGCGAGUGCCUCACGGGCGUUAAACUUCUUUUGUGCGGGAGCAAUAAGGGCCACGUGUGGCCCGAUGAGAGUACCGCACGAAUAAGCAUCGGCUAACUCCGUGCCAGCAGCCGCGGUAAUACGGGGAUGGCGAGCGUUAUCGGAUUUAUUGGGUUUCGAAAUGGGUUGGCUGAUGAGGCGGCGGCGUUCAGGUCAGCGGUGAAAUACCGGGGCUCAACCCGGCCGGCUGCCGUUGAAACCGGAGCGCUAGAAUUCCGAUGCCGUCGGAGGAAUGUGUGGUGUAGCGGUGAAAUGCAUAGAUAUCACACAGAACACCGAUUGCGAAGGCAUCUGACGAAUCGGAGAUUGACGCUGAUGCACGAAAGCGUGGGUAUCGAACAGGAUUAGAUACC
rnacentral:rRNA from 1 species